CUGCUCCAGAAUAGCUCUUGGAAACGGGUGGUAAUGCUGGAUGCUCCAACUUGACGCAUGUCUUGUUGGGAAAGUGUUUAGUGGCAUGGGAUGGGGUCGCGUCCUAUCAGCUUGUAGGCGGGGUAAUGGCCCACCUAGGCUUCGACGGGUAGCCGGCCUGAGAGGGCGGACGGCCACAUUGGGACUGAGAUACGGCCCAGACUCCUACGGGAGGCAGCAGGU
rnacentral:rRNA from 1 species